rnacentral:piRNA from 1 species
UCCGGCAUACCCUGACAAUAAAGUUGC